CAGUAGCCGCGGGAAUACCGAGGGUGCGAGCGUUAAUCGGAUUUACUGGGCGUAAAGCGUGCGUAGGCGGCUUCUUAAGUCGGAUGUGAAAUCCCUGAGCUUAACUUAGGAAUUGCAUUCGAUACUGGGAAGCUAGAGUAUGGGAGAGGAUGGUAGAAUUCCAGGUGUAGCGGUGAAAUGCGUAGAGAUCUGGAGGAAUACCGAUGGCGAAGGCAGCCAUCUGGCCUAAUACUGACGCUGAGGUACGAAAGCAUGGGGAGCAAACAGGAUUAGAGACCCGUGUAGUCCUGUCUCUUAUACA
rnacentral:rRNA from 1 species